rnacentral:rRNA from 1 species
UUGACCUCGGAUCAGGUAGGAAUACCCGCUGAACUUAAGCAUAUCAAUAAGCGGAGGAAAAGAAACCAACAGGGAUUGCCUUAGUAACGGCGAGUGAAGCGGCAACAGCUCAAAUUUGAAAUCUGGCCCCCAGGCCCGAGUUGUAAUUUGUAGAGGAUGCUUCUGGCGACGCGCCUUCCGAGUUCCCUGGAACGGGACGCCAAAGAGGGUGAGAGCCCCGUCCGGUCGUGCGCCUAGCCUCUGUGAAGCUCCUUCGACGAGUCGAGUAGUUUGGGAAUGCUGCUCUAAAUGGGAGGUAUACGUCUUCUAAAGCUAAAUAUUGGCCAGAGACCGAUAGCGCACAAGUAGAGUGAUCGAAAGAUGAAAAGCACUUUGAAAAGAGGGUUAAAUAGUACGUGAAAUUGCUGAAAGGGAAGCGCUUAUGACCAGACUUGGGCUUGGUGAAUCAUCCGGCGUUCUCGCCGGUGCACUUUGCCGGUCCAGGCCAGCAUCAGUUCGCUCCGGGGGAUAAAGGCUUCGGGAAUGUAGCUCCUUCGGGAGUGUUAUAGACC